AUUGAACGCUGGCGGCAUGCCUUACACAUGCAAGUCGAACGGCAGCACGGGAGCAAUCCUGGUGGCGAGUGGCGAACGGGUGAGUAAUAUAUCGGAACGUGCCCAGUCGUGGGGGAUAACGCAGCGAAAGCUGUGCUAAUACCGCAUACGAUCUACGGAUGAAAGCGGGGGAUCGCAAGACCUCGCGCGAUUGGAGCGGCCGAUAUCAGAUUAGCUAGUUGGUGAGGUAAAGGCUCACCAAGGCGACGAUCUGUAGCUGGUCUGAGAGGACGACCAGCCACACUGGAACUGAGACACGGUCCAGACUCCUACGGGAGGCAGCAGUGGGGAAUUUUGGACAAUGGGCGAAAGCCUGAUCCAGCAAUGCCGCGUGCAGGAUGAAGGCCUUCGGGUUGUAAACUGCUUUUGUACGGAACGAAACGGUGAGCUCUAAUACAGUUUGCUAAUGACGGUACCGUAAGAAUAAGCACCGGCUAACUACGUGCCAGCCGCCGCCGUAA
rnacentral:rRNA from 1 species